CCAUCUCUUCUAAAUGUUACAAUAUCUAUGUCUUUUACUCUCUGGCUUGCAGCAUGUCCAUUGCCAGUGUUUUCUAAUCGCCUCAAUAUUGGGGGUAAUUAAAAGUCUAGGUCUUCUUAUAUCUCCCCAAAUCAAUCAAUCAAGUCCCCAGUCUUGUUUUUCAGAGUCCAAAGUUAUAACUUCCAAUUUGUCUAUGUCCCAAUCCUCCAGUGUAUCCUAGAUACAGGUCUUCUGGAGUCCCUGUAUUUCAUUGUGUCCAAGUCUAGCUCUUCUAAUAUCUUACAGCACAUAGAUAGUUCAGUUCCUACAACUUACAGUGUCUCCUAAAUCCUCAUUUACAAUGUUUUGUCAUUAGAAGUUCCUGUGAUGCCCAAGUCUUUCAAUAUCUCUAAGAACUUGGUCUUCUAACAUUCAACAUCCCCAAUGUCUCAAUAGCUAUGUCUCUUAAUAUCCUGAUCUUUUAAUUUUCAGGGCUGUCAACAUCCUUGACUUCCAGAAACAAGAAAAUUACAUCUUCUAAAAACUCUUUUUAACAUGAAAAUAUCAAUAUCCAGGUUUUCCAGUGUCUCCCAAUAUACAGGGCUUCUGAUUUUAAGGUUUCUAAAUGUUUCGAUCGUCUCUUGUUCAUAUCUUCCAAUAUUUAGGGCUUUUAAGGUAAAGGACUUGCAGUGUCUCUAGUGUUCAGGACCUCCAGCACCCAAGCCUUUCAAUAUCCAUUAAUUUUGACACCCAGGGCCCCCAAAGUCUCCAGUGUGUAGAAUAUCAAAUGUCCUCAAAAUCUAGGGCUUCCACUGUCUCCAACAUCCUGUGCUUCCAAUGUCUCCAAUAUCCAGGGUUUCUGAUGGCGCCAGUGUCAAGGUCUUCCAGUGACUCCAGGUCUUCCAGCAAUUCCAAGUCUUCCAACAACAUCAAGGUCUUCCAGCUAACCCAGUCUUCCAGAAAUCUAUGUCUUCCGGACAAUCCAUGUCUUCCAGGAAAUCCAGUCUUCCAGCAAUUAUAUGUCUUCCACAAAAUCCAUAGCUUCCAGGAAAAUCCACGUCUUCCAGAAAAUCCAUGUCUUCCAACAAUUUCAAGGUCUUCCAGCCAAUCCACGUCUUCCAGAAAAAUCUAUGUCUUCCGCCAAAUCUAAGUCUUCCAGCUAAUUUACGUCUUCCAGAAAAAUCCAAGUCUUCCAGCCAAUCUCUGUCUUCCAGAAAGAAAUCCAGGUCUUCCACUCAGUCCAUGUCUUCCGGAGAAAUCUGUGUCUUCCAGAAAAAUCCAGGUCUUCCAACCAACCCACGUCUUCCAUCAAAUCCAGUCUUCCAGUGCAUUUAUGUCUUCCAGACAAAAAUCUAUGUCUUCCACUGAAUCCAGGUCUUCCGGUAAAUCUACGUCUUCCAGAAAAUUCAUGUCUUCCACUAAAUUCAGGUCUUCCAGCAAAUUUAUGUCUUCCUAGAGAUUGUCUUCCAGAAAAAUUCAUGUCUUCCAGCAAAUCUGUGUCUUCCAAAUAAUCCAGGUCUUCCGGACAAUUCGGGUCUUCCUGAAAAUCCAUGUCUUCCAGAAAAGCCAUGUCUUCCAGGAAAUCCAUGUCUUCCAAUGACCUCCAAGUCUUCCAGAAAAUCCAUGUCUUCCAUCAAAUUCACGUCUUCCAUCAAACCCACGUCUUCCAGAAAAUCCACGUCUUCCAUCAAAUCCAUGUCUUCCAGAAAAUCCACGUCUUCCAAGAAAUACGUCUUCCAUCAAAUUCAUGUCUUCCAGCCUACCCAUGUCUUCCAGAAGAUCCAAGUCUUCCAACAAAGUCACGUCUUCCAAAAAAUCCAUGUCUUCCAACAAAGGUGCAUCUUCCAGAAAAUCCAUGUCUUCCAACAAACCUGUGUCUUCCAGAAAAUCCAUGUCUUCCCACAAAACCAUGUCUUCCAGAAAAUCCACGUCUUCCAAGAAGGGUGCGUCUUCCGGAAAAUCCACGUCUUCCAACAAAGGGUGCGUCUUCCGGAAAAUCCACGUCUUCCAACAAGGUGCGUCUUCCAACAAAGGGUGCGUCUUCCAGAAAAUCCAUGUCUUCCAACAGUGCCAUGUCUUCCAGAAAAUCCAUGUCUUCCUACACCUCCAGGUCUUCCAGCAUCUCCAGGGCUUCCAGCAUCUGCUCGUCUUCCAGCAUCUCCUCGUCUUCCAGCAUCUCCUCGUCUUCCAGCAUCUCCACGUCUUCCAGCAUCUUCAUGUCUUCCAACAACAACUCAGUCUUCCAAAAGUAGGCUCAAUAUCCACGUCUUCCAAUGUCUCCAGUGUACUGGUCUUCUAACAUUCAGGUCUUCUGGUGUCUACGAUAUCCAGGUCCCCAGUGCCACAGGCCCCUAACAGGAAGGCAGGGCUGGACUCUUGGCCCAGAUUGGGGGCAGUGAUGACAGGAGCAAAAGCAACAAUAGUGAUGGCAGUGGCUGUGGAUCAGGAGGAGAGAUUGGACUGCACAUGGGGCUGAGUCCCCUGGUGGCGUAGCAGUUAAGAAUUUGGCAUUGACACUGCUGUGACACGCACUCAAUCCCUGGGCCGGGAACUUCUGCAUGCGAUGGAUGCGGCCAAAAAAUGUGGUGUGUGUGUGUGUGUACGUAUACAGGCUGAAUCUUACAAUCUGCAAUUCUUAGGCUGGCCAACAUUUUGCUGCCAUCUGGGUUCUGCCAACAGGCCAACCAACGGGAUCUUAAACCCAGGAGUAUGGAACAGCCAGUUUUUUUCCUUCUUCCUCUGCAUCAAGUAAUCUCCCCCACAAUGGCUACAUAUUUUCCAUGGCUCCAUCCCUGUCAGUUUGAUCUAACACGCAGGCUCCAGUAAUGCUAUCUCUUCUCUUUGCCCUUCCAACCAGAGGUAGGAAUGACUUCUUUAUGUUGCGAAUUAUUGGGUCCCCCAACUGUCCCCUGUUUAGCUUCUCCAUUACUUUUAUAACCAAUUUUCUGCAUUAAAUAUUUACCAUGAUUUA
rnacentral:lncRNA from 1 species